rnacentral:tRNA from 1 species
UGGGGAUAUAUCUCAGUGGUGGAGUUCUUGCCUGAUAUGCAUGAGGUCUUGGGUUCAAUCUCCAGUACUAA